AUAAGGAGCGUGAGAGAAUGAGAACUCUGGGUAGAGUAAUUGCUAUUUUCUUCCCUUCUUCUGUCAUGAUAGCCUCCCUCACAACCUUUUUCUGUCAGCACAGAACCCAGUGCUUCAGCAAUUGGCUGUCCUUCCCAAACAACAACAACGUACCACUCUCUUUCUGGUUUCUGCUCAUCUUUGAAUUCUUUACGUAUUUUUUCCUACUACUUUUUUUUACUUCGUCCAAUUUACGAACAAAUGAAAAGACCCAUUCUGAUUUCUGGGUGCCACUACAGAGUACAGACAGUCUCCGCUGGGUCCCUCCUUCACGCGCCAAGAAAAUGGCAUGGAUUCAAGUCAAAAUCCAUGGUUCAAGCCAUUGGUUUGCUGGGGCGAGGGCCCAGGGGUGGAUAAUUGUAGAUAGAGUGCCACGUGUUCUAAGCAUUGAGGAUUGAGCUGGCAUCAAUUGGCGUCUUUCGGCAAUAUUAUUAUAGCACAGGACUGGCGGCAGGCCUGGCACUACUUGCAACUCGCUUCUCUGCUAAGUAAUUUCUGUUCAGCUUUCAUCUCCCCCACCCCCCAAUUUUUCGGAUCAGAUUGCAAUCAACCAGUUUCUCCUCCACUCAAUCUUUGAGAUAAUAAUAAUAACGUUAUUUUAUAUCCGAUCAUGUCGGAAAAUCU